UCUUUCUUUCUUUAUUCUUUAUUUAUACUUUUACUCCCUAAGGAUUUUAAUUAUUUCGAUUUUGCCACCUUUUGUUUAAGUUUACAAAUUACAUCCUUUGAAUUUACAACUAUUGUACAUACUACGUCGUUUCGCUGCGCUGUGGUUUUUAUGAUUUUAUCGGUGGAACCGGAGAAUCUUCAGCUCGUUUACGAACUUAUGUGUCGAUGAGCGAGCGCUUAGAGAGAAUCUCAGAUUUUGUUUCGUCUCUGCUCUACUUUUUCUCUCUUCUCUACUUUACAAGGCGUAUGGAAGAUUUAGUUCGUAUACGAAAUAAGGCAUAUCCAGUGAAUCGCCGAUCACGGAGGAGACCAUCUGAGGAACCUGGAUGGGACCUGAAGUAAUAGUUUAGAUGGAGAUAUACGUUUGUGGGUGAAGUUUUAAACCGUGAAAGCUGAAAAAAGGUUUCGUUCUGAGGUGUUCUGUGGGUGGGUCUCUUGUCUUGUCAUCAAACUGAAAGUCACAGAAGAUAGUUUUGGUGCUCUUUGAUUCCAUUCUGCUUUUGUGCAGGAAACUAGCUUGUCAACAUUUAUACUGUUCUUCCUUGAUACGUUUUCUAAAGAUGUUUUGGGAUAGCAAGGAUACUGUUUGGAGAGUCUUCUGAUCUUGGUCUUGUGUAAGUCUAGCAUCAUAUUGGUCUUUUUUAAUCUCAGCAUCUUCUAGGCAUUGUCUACUGCUUGUUUUUGGGAUUCGUAGUCACAUUGGUCAGCUAAACUUGUCUGUAUAACAUAUUCAGUUAUCAGUUGUAUCAGAAACAUUAUGAUCAGAGUUAAUUGUAACUUUAUGAUGCAUAUUAGCCUCUGCAUCCUUGUGAUGAUGGUAGUGAACUCCUUAGAGAUGGUUGGAAUACAAACUCUUGUAAAGAACUUGUUUGAAGCUGUAAUAAAACUAGUUCUCAGGAUUGCCAUUUAGUUGCUUCCUUCUUUUCCUGGACAUCUUUGUAAGAUUCUAUUCAACAUAUUGAACCUCUCUGGGCAGAUAUUACACA